rnacentral:rRNA from 1 species
GAAACCGCAGGCAUACACAUGCAAGUCGGACGGUAGCACAGAGAGCUUGCUCUCGGGUGACGAGUGGCGGACGGAGGGGCCUUAUCUGGGGAUCUGCCCGAUAGAGGGGGAUAACCACUGGAAACGGUGGCUAAUACCGCAUAACGUCGCAAGACCAAAGAGGGGGACCUUCGGGCCUCUCACUAUCGGAUGAACCCAGAUGGGAUUAGCUAGUAGGCGGGGUAAUGGCCCACCUAGGCGACGAUCCCUAGCUGGUCUGAGAGGAUGACCAGCCACACUGGAACUGAGACACGGUCCAGACUCCUACGGGAGGCAGCAGUGGGGAAUAUUGCACAAUGGGCGCAAGCCUGAUGCAGCCAUGCCGCGUGUAUGAAGAAGGCCUUCGGGUUGUAAAGUACUUUCAGCGGGGAGGAAGGCGAUGUGGUUAAUAACCGCAUUGAUUGACGUUACCCGCAGAAGAAGCACCGGCUAACUCCGUGCCAGCAGCCGCGGUAAUACGGAGGGUGCAAGCGUUAAUCGGAAUUACUGGGCGUAAAGCGCACGCAGGCGGUCUGUUAAGUCAGAUGUGAAAUCCCCGGGCUUAACCUGGGAACUGCAUUUGAAACUGGCAGGCUUGAGUCUCGUAGAGGGGGGUAGAAUUCCAGGUGUAGCGGUGAAAUGCGUAGAGAUCUGGAGGAAUACCGGUGGCGAAGGCGGCCCCCUGGGACAAAGACUGACGCUCAGGUGCGAAAGCGUGGGGAGCAAACAGGAUUUAGAUACCCUGGUAGUCCACGCCCGUAAACGAUG